AACAGGACUGGAUGGAAAUGAGAGAGAGAGAGAGAGGGACAGUUGAUCGUUUCUAGAUUAAUAUCAAAAGACUCCCGACACACGUUUUGAAUCCGCCAUGAAAAUACUACGUAAAGACAUUCGAAGCUAAUAGCGCCCAAUUAAGAGCAUGUAGCCAGCAAUCGACCAAUGAGCGGCUCGCUUACAAAAUGGACACGUCGGUCUUACUAGCAGCAGCAGCUCCUCACAUCAGAGUUACAUACUGUGAGUACAACCCUCCUUUGCAGCAUGGUCUUUUCACACUCGACGAGAGGCAACCACCACCACUACCAUCAUCAUUAUUAUCAUCAUCUUAUUCAGUUUCAUCAUCUCCGCCACCUUCGGCAACAGCAACAAUAGAGAGAAAGGAGAGGACAACGACGACGACGGAUGAUGAUGCGGCGGCCAACAACACAACUUUUCAUCAUCCAUCUUUCACCCCACCACAAA